UUUUUUCUUUUUUUUCAUUUAUGUACGGUAAAAUUUACGUGUGUGUGUGUGUAUGUGUGUGUGUGUGUGUACAGUACUAUGGGCUUUAACCCAUGGAUGAACUCUUGUAACCAUCAGCACAAACAGGUAUAGAGCAAUUCCAAGAGCCCCAAAGAAUUCCUUUGUGCUGCCCCUUUUCAGUCAGACCUUCGUCCCAACCCUUAACGCUGUCCCAAGGUCUGGCUUCUCUACAGCGUCACAGAAACAGAGUCAUGCAGGAUAAAGGGUUUUGAGUCGGCUUCUCUGAUUGAGCAUAAUGCCCUGGGGAUGCAUCCAAGUUGUUGUCGUAUGAACAGUUGCUCCUUUCUGUUGCUGAGUAGUGGUCUAUUGCAUAGAGACACCAUACCUUGUUAUUCCAUUCAUCCACCAAAGGACAUCUGACUGGUUUCCAGUUAUGGGCGAUUGUGAAUAUGCUACUAAAAACAUUCAUUGCACGUUUUGUGUAGACGUAACCAUUUAUGCCUAUAAGAUAAAUAAGUAUCUAGACAUGGACUUUCUGGGUCACAUGGCAAGUGCAAUGUUUAAUUUUAUAAGAAGCUGAUGAGAUGAGCCAUUUUCCAGAAUGGCUCUUCUAGUUUACAUCCCACCAGCCACAUCUGAGAACCCAAGUUGCUCUACACUAUGGUCAGCCCUUGGCAUCGUCAAUACUUUUCCUCUUAGCUGUAAUAGCUGUGUGAUGCUAGUUAUUUUUUUAAGAUGGAAACAUUUAUAAAUGUCUGUUAAUCAUUGACUUUAUUUUUUAAUUUUUUAUUAUAAUCGAUUUGCAAUGUUCUGUCAAUUUCUGCUAUUCGGCAAAGUGACCCAGCUAUACAUCUAAAAACAUUCUUUUUCUCACAUUACCCUCCAUCAUGUUCCAUCACAAGUGAUUAGAUAUAUAGUUCUCUGUGCUAUACAGCAGGAUCCCAUUGCCCAUCCACUCCAAAUGCAAGUUUUCAUCUACUGACCCCAGACCCCCAAUACAUCCCACUCCCUCCCCUUCCCCCUGGCAAACACGAGUCUGUCCUCCACGUCCAUGAUCUUUUCUGUUUUGUAGCUAGAUCAUUUGUGCCAUAUUUUAGACUCCACAUAUAAGUGAUAUCAUAUGGUAUUUGUCUUUCUCUUUCUGACUUCACUCAGUAUGAGAGUCUCUAGUUCCAUCCAAGUUGCUGCAAAUGGCAAUAUUUUGUCCUUUUUAUGGCUGAGUAUAUUCCUGUGUGUGUGUGUGUGUGUGUACACCACAUAUAUAUACCACAUCAUACACACACACACACACACACACACCCCACAUCUUCUUAAUCUAUUCAUUAUGAAUACGGCAUUUAAGUUGUUUCCAUGUCUCGGCUAUUAUGAAUAGUGCUGCAAUGAAUCAUCAACUUUAUACGAUAAUAAUGUUCAGAAGCAGCUAAAGUCACAGAACUCAAGUUUAUUUUAAUGGCUGGCCAAUGCCUUCGAAAAAUCUUGAAAAUUCCAGCAUGGCAAAAAGGCAUCUCGUGGUCGGGCUCUUCCCAACUUCUUCGGCCUCAUCUCCUACCCUUCUCUUUCUUGGACCCCUCGACCAGCCAGAUCAAUGACAUUAAGUAAGAAUGGGUCCUACUUAAUGACAUGCCAGGGCACUAAGCCACAUUGGUCAUGUGCAUGAUUUCACUUCCACCUCUCACAGCUCUGUGAGGCCAUAUAAGCAGUGGCCUUCCUUCUCUACUGCAGAGAAGAACAUGGACUCAGAGACAGUGGGAAACUCAUGCAAAGAUGCACAGCUGCCACACGGCAGAGCCGGGACUCGACCCCUUGUCUCAUCCUGCCCCAUGUGCUGCGCUCCCCCUGACCUCUGGGUCUGCGCUCUCCUGUUGCCUGGAGCCCCAGUCUCUCCACCCUCAUCUGCUGCCAACCUCCUCCGCGAAGCUGUCCCCAGCUCUUUCAAGGCACACAUAGGGGUCUUCCUCAGCCGUGCAGAGAAGGUAAGGAGGUGCCAGGCACUGGCAUCUUGUCACCCUUCUUCCCCCACCACCUGGAGCCUACGAGGUCCUCAGCCUGUAGAUGUCAAGUACCCACUGAGCUGAAUGAGCGUCCAGACGGGUCCUACAGGAAACACUGCUGCAUGGGAAUGCUGAACAUAAGCAGACAAUCCUUCAGAACGCAUCCACGGAAGACCAUCGCAUACUAAGCAAAAACUUAGUCAAAGACAGGACAUUGCACAAACUCUCACACAACUCUGGAGACACACUCAGAUCUCCUCCUGGGGUACACUAUGGAAUCCGGGGUGACAACAAGGGUGCUUCCCCAAGGUUAACAGCUUUAGGCCAAAAGAGAAAAGAAGAAUGGGAGAAAGAUGCAAGGAGCCCCUCUGACACUCAUGCUCUGGAUGUUUUCCUUCUUGUCCACAUAAGCAUUGUGGCUAUAGAUAGCAGGGUUCUAUUCCUCUCUUCCUAUCACUCUCUAUUUAGAAAGAUCUUUUUUUUUUUUUUUCUUCUUUUCAGGGCCGCACCCAUGGCAUAUGGUAGUUCCCAGGCUAGGGAUCGAAUCAGAGCUGCAGCUGCCAGCCCUCACCACAGCCACGCCAGGUCCAAGCUGCAUCUGUGACCUAGGCCACAGCUUGUGGCAACACUGGAUUCUUAACCCACUAAGAGAGGCCAGGGAUCAAACCCCCAUCCUCAUGGACACUAUGUCGAGUCCUUAACCUGCUUAGCCACAAAGGGAACUCCCUAGAAAGAUCUUUUUUUCUUUUUUUGAAAGAUCAUUUUUGAUAGUAAAAGUAAUCAAAAACAAUUCAUUAGGCACCCAGAAAACCCUGAGGGAUGUGGACUAGCUCUUUGCCCCUGGAAAGUCUGACAACAAACCAUUCCAGAAAGAGGCUGAAUCUGACACUGGAGCAGAGCUCCAACCGGAGAAAGGCCUAGAAGAGACAGCGCUCUGCAAUGUCUGCUUUCCAAGAAUAAAGUUGAAUUAUCAGGUGAAUUUGUUUUAAUUAAUAGUAUGACGUGGCAACAAUCAGAUGUUUCGUGGGCCACAUUGCCUUCCCCAGGAUUCUCUCAAGGAAGAAACUGGAAAACUGUGGAGACACCUGCACAAUCUAAUGAAGCCAAGACUUUCUUAUCCAUCCUUCCUGUCUGCCAAUAAGUGUUUGUAAAUUCUAAAAGCUUGAAUACAGAUGUUUAGCCUCUCACAAUUCUGUGUAAAAAGCAGCUUGGGAAACAAAAGCAAAGAAAAUGAAGGGUGCCAGUACACAGCAACAUAUGAACACUUCAACUAGGGCAACCUCCUUUGCUGUUCCCAAGCCAGAUGAAGAGCCCUUUCCUCCAGCUUCAGCUCUCACGACCCACUCCUCCAGUGCAGAAUAACCUGCUUUAGUUCUGGCAUGGGUUUGUGCCUUCACAAGCUCCGUAAGAAGCCCCAUCACCCUAACUCAUGGAAGUUCAUAUGUGGAGAACUAAAUACAACAUUGUUCCCAUACUUUAAUGCAGAUAAUCAUUUUUUUUUCUUUUUACAGCCACAUCUGCAGCAUAUGGAAGUUCCUGGGUUAAGGGUUGAAUUGGAGUUGGAGCUGCGGUGGCCAGCCUUUGCCACAGCCACAGCAAUACCGGAUCUGAGCUGCAUCUGUAACCUACACUUCAGCAAUGCUGGAUCCUUAACUCACUGAACGAGUCCAGGGGUCAAACCUGCAUCCUCACGGACACUAUGUUGAGUUCUCAGCCCACUGAGCUACAGUGGGAACUUUCAGAUCAUCAGUUUUUUAAGUAAGGCAGAAAAAAAAUGAGAGAUCG
ensembl:lncRNA